rnacentral:rRNA from 1 species
AUUGAACGCUGGCGGCAGGCCUAACACAUGCAAGUCGAACGGUAACAGGAAGAAGCUUGCUUCUUUGCUGACGAGUGGCGGACGGGUGAGUAAUGUCUGGGAAACUGCCUGAUGGAGGGGGAUAACUACUGGAAACGGUAGCUAAUACCGCAUAACGUCGCAAGACCAAAGAGGGGGACCUUCGGGCCUCUUGCCAUCGGAUGUGCCCAGAUGGGAUUAGCUAGUAGGUGGGGUAACGGCUCACCUAGGCGACGAUCCCUAGCUGGUCUGAGAGGAUGACCAGCCACACUGGAACUGAGACACGGUCCAGACUCUACGGGAGGCAGCAGUGGGAAUAUUGCACAAUGGGCGCAAGCCUGAUGCAGCC